AACCAUUUCUGAGGAAAAUAUUUUCAGUCAUUUAUUUUGGUAUGAUUUUAUGAGGACAAAGCUAAUUUUUGUGGUCAGCUGUCUACUUUUAUUCUAAGACUUAGUUUCAGGAGCUAUGAAGUGGAACCACUGCUGCUUAAUAGUUCCCAGACACUGGCAGUGUGACAAAAUGGAGCUGGUAGGACAAAACUGGAAAAAAAACCCACUAAAGAGUUGGAGCCACAUCUAUGAAAAAGAGAUCAAGUAACCAUUAUCUGUAACAGCUGUGCAAAAUUAGUUCCUUCAAGAUGCCUUGCUAUUGUCAUUUGUUAACAAUUGAUCAAAGCAAGUAGAAGAAACUUUAGUGGAUGCCUGAAGAAGAGACAAAAAAAGAAUGCUUGAUCAGUGAGGCUAUUCAGAACACUGUGUAACAUUGGUAGAUCUCUUGCCUAAUGGAUUUAGGGACAGUUAUUUGCUCAGGCAGCAUAAGAUGAUUGAUAAGGCAAGCAUAGCCUUAGAAAAGCUUUUGAAUGCUACACAUCUAAAGGAGACAUGUCUGGAAAUAACUGCAAAUCCACCUAAUGAAACCACACCUAAACAUUAAGACUGCUGGAUCCAGUCCUGUAAAGCGAUUGUAAAUGCAAAUGGUCAUUGUACAUUAAGUGAGGACUAACUGUACUUGGAUUUUGUGCUAUAUUAUUCAGACAAGCAGCACACUCAUAUUUCAUGCGUCCUACAUUGUACUUUGUAUUAUAUACUGUAAUUUAUUUUAUUAACUCUGGGUUGUGAUUUGUAAUAAAGUUGGAUUGACUGGCAUAUUGCA